rnacentral:rRNA from 1 species
AUUGAACGCUGGCGGCAGGCCUAACACAUGCAAGUCGAACGGUAACAGGAAGAAGCUUGCUUCUUUGCUGACGAGUGGCGGACGGGUGAGUAAUGUCUGUGAAACUGCCUGAUGGAGGGGGAUAACUACUGGAAACGGUAGCUAAUACCGCAUAACGUCGCAAGACCAAAGAGGGGGACCUUCGGGCCUCUUGCCAUCGGAUGUGCCCAGAUGGGAUUAGCUAGUAGGUGGGGUAACGGCUCACCUAGGCGACGAUCCCUAGCUGGUCUGAGAGGAUGACCAGCCACACUGGAACUGAGACACGGUCCAGACUCCUAAGGGAGGCAGCAGUGGGGAAUAUUGCACAAUGGGCGCAAGCCUGAUGCAGCCAUGCCGCGUGUAUGAAGAAGGCCUUCGGGUUGUAAAGUACUUUCAGCGGGGAGGAAGGGAGUAAAGUUAAUACCUUUGCUCAUUGACGUUACCCGCAGAAGAAGCACCGGCUAACUCCGUG